UUUAGGGAGACCUAAUCCACUCGAAUAUCGAAAAACAAUCAGUUAAAUAGAUAUUGAGUUGGUCUAUCCUAGGUCGGUCGCAGAGAUUGUUGAGGCUUUCAAACUAUUAUGAGGUUCUUUGUGGGCUAUUAGCUCAGGUGGUUAGAGCGCACCCCUGAUAAGGGUGAGGUCCCUGGUUCGAGUCCAGGAUGGCCCACCUGAAGCAAGUCAAAAGUUAAAAGCCAAAAGUCAAAAGUAAAGUGUUGAUUUUUGAAUUUUGAAUUUUGAAUUGUUGAUGGGGGUUUAGCUCAGUUGGUAGAGCGCCUGCUUUGCAAGCAGGAUGUCAGCGGUUCGAGUCCGCUAACCUCCACCUGCUGUACUGUGACAGUUUCGAAAGUGAAUAUAUCGAUAGUAGUCAAAAGCGAAAAACGAUAGAAUACUUUUUGUGGCGGAGCAGACAGUGUGAUAAAAUUAAAGAUUGUGGAUAAAUUCAGCAAUUGACAGCAAACAAAGUCAAACUGCUGGAAGAAUCCAGCCAGAACCUUGAAAACUGCAUAGUAACGCGAAAAAAAGCAGGCAGACGAAUCGGAGUGCUGAGUGCCAAGUGAUGAGUGCUGAUUUUAAUCAGUGUGAAUUACAAAGUAAACAGAACUUGGAAUAAGUUUGCAGUGGUGAAACCAAUGGAUUGU
rnacentral:tRNA from 1 species